CAAGUACUCCCUCCGUCCGAAAAUAUUUGUCAUCAAAAUGGACAAAAAAGGAUGUAUCUAGAACUAAAAUACAUCUAGAUACAUCCUUUUUUAUUUAUUUUGAUGACAAGUAUUUCCGGACGAAGGGAGUAGUAC
rnacentral:pre_miRNA from 1 species